CACGUAGGGGGCAAGCGUUGUCCGGAUUUAUUGGGCGUAAAGAGCUCGUAGGUGGUUCGGUAAGUCGGGUGUGAAACCUCCAGGCUCAACCUGGAGACGCCACCCGAUACUGCUGUGACUAGAGUCCGGUAGGGGAGCGUGGAAUUCCUGGUGUAGCGGUGAAAUGCGCAGAUAUCAGGAGGAACACCGGUGGCGAAGGCGGCGUUCUGGACUGCAACUGACACUGAGGAACGAAAGCCAGGGGAGCAAACGGG
rnacentral:rRNA from 1 species